GACGAACGCUGGCGGCGUGCCUAAUACAUGCAAGUAGAACGCACAGUUUAUACUUUAUCUUGCUACACCAUGCACUGUGAUUUGCGAACGGGUGAGUAAUGCGUAGGUAACCUGGCUGGUAUCGGGGGAUAACUAUUGGUAACGCUAGCUAAUAGCGCGUAAUAUUAAUUAUUGCUUGAUAAUUGAUUUAAAGAUUCAACUUCAUCACUAUCAGAUGGAUCUUCGUUGUAUUAGCUAGUAGGGGAGGUAACGGGUCACCUAGGCGACGGUACAUAGACGACCUGAGAGGGAUAUCCACCAAAACGGGACUGAGAAAACGGCCAGAAUCCUAAGGGAGGCAGCCGUAGGGGAUCUUCGGAAAAGGACGAAAGUCUGAACCCGCAAAGCCGCGUGAGUGAAGAAGGUUUUCCGAACGUAAAGGUAUGUUGUAAGGGAAGAAAGGGUGUGAAGGUGGAAAGUUCACACUGUGACGGUAUCUUCACAGAAAGGGACGGCUAACUACGUG
rnacentral:rRNA from 1 species